rnacentral:lncRNA from 1 species
CAUUCCAUUCCAUUCCAUUGCAUUCCAUUCCAUUCCAUUCCAUACCAUUCCACCAAAGUUGAUUGCAUGCUAUUCCAUUCCAUUCCAUUCCAUUCCGUUCCUUUCCACUUGGGUUGAUUCCAUUCCAUUCAAUUCCGUUCCAUUCCGUUCCGUUCCGUUCCGUUCCAUUCCAUUCCAUUCCAUUCCAUUCCAUUCCAUUCCAUUUCAUUCCAUUGCAUUCCACUCGGGUUGUUUCCAUUCCAUUCCAUUCCAUUCCAUUCCAUUCCAUUCCAUUCCAUAUUCCAUUCCAUACCCUUCGGGUUGAUUCCUUUCCAUUCCAUUCCAUCCCAUUCCAUUCCGCUCCAUUCCAUUCCAUUCAAUUCAAUUCCAUUCCAUUCCACUCCAUUCCAUUCCACUUGUGUUCAUUCCAUUCCAUUCCAUUCCAUUCUAUCCCGUUACUUUGCAUUCUAUUCCGUUCCAUUCCAUUCCCUCACACUCGUGUUCAUUCCAUUCCGUUCCUUUGCAUUCCAUUCCAUUCAUUUCCAUUCCUUUCCAUUGCACUCCACUCGGGUUGAUUCCAUUCCAUUCCAUUCUAUUCCAUUCCGUUCAAUUAAAUUCCAUUCCAUUCCAUUCCAUUGCAUUCCAGUUCAUUCCAUUCGUUUCCACUCCAUUCCAUUCCCUUCCAUUCCAUUCCAUUCCAUUCCCUUCCAUUCCAUUCCAUUCAAUACUAUUCCGUUGCAUUGGAAUCGGGUUGAUUCCAAUCCAUUCCAUUACAUUCCAGUC